AUGUCAAACAAUUCUUUCUUUUCCUUGGAUCGGAAAUUUCUCGAUGAAACUGAUGCUGUGCUAUUCAACUCCUGCAACUCCUUAGAGGCAUACGAUGCCAAACGAUUCAUUUUCUGUUCCUUGGAUCAGAAAUUUCUCGAUGAAACUGAUGCUGUGCUGUUCAACUGUCCCAAUUCCUUAGAGGCGAAGCCAACUGCGGUGAAGCAGAGAAUGGAAGCUAUGGGAGUCACAGGCCUGACAAUCUGGAACAUAAAAAGCCACCUCCAAAGAUACAGGGAGAAGUGCAAUUUAGGAGCCGAACCUCCUCGGGAUGUCCUAGGCACUGCAUCACCAAGCAAGGCAGGAGAUAAUGUGACAUCUGAGGCCGAGACGGUGGUGGACAGUGAUGCAGCAAUGAAUCUGACUGGAAUGGAGAUGGCGACCUAUUUGCUUAUGGAUGACACGGAGAUGGUGGAUACCGCAUUUUCUGCGGAUGAGUUGCAGAUGAUGGAGAAGGAACUGAUGAAUGCGAUCCGGGCAUGA
rnacentral:rRNA from 1 species